rnacentral:ribozyme from 1 species
UAAAUAACAAGAUAAAAGAACGAGAGAGGGGAGGAAGACGAAGCAGAAACCAAGAUGAACGUAGAACGCAGGUUUCGAUUCGGACCCAUGGUUUUAUUUCGCGCAAGUUCAGAAUCUCUAUGAAACCAUCCAAAUGCAUCUGUUUGCUUUUUGUUUCGACCGAAUUCUCUUGGAAAUCACGUGCUA